CUGGCUCAGGACGAACGCUGGCGGCGUGCUUAACACAUGCAAGUCGAACGGGGAUAUGCGAGCGGAAGGCUGGCCGAAGGUGCAUAUCGAGUGGCGGACGGGUGAGUAACGCGUGAACAAUCUGUCCCAGACAGGGGGAUAACACUUGGAAACAGGUGCUAAUACCGCAUGAGACCACGGAGUCGCAUGGCACUGGGGUAAAAGGAGCAAUCCGGUUUGGGGUGAGUUCGCGUCCGAUUAGCCAGUUGGUGAGGUAACGGCCCACCAAAGCGACGAUCGGUAGCCGACCUGAGAGGGUGAUCGGCCACAUUGGGACUGAGAGACGGUCCAAACUCCUACGGGAGGCAGCAGUGGGGAAUAUUGGGCAAUGGGCGAAAGCCUGACCCAGCAACGCCGCGUGAGUGAAGAAGGCCUUCGGGUUGUAAAGCUCUGUUAUAGGGGACGAAGAGCGUGACGGUACCCUAUAAGGAAGCCCCGGCUAACUACGUGCCAGCCGCAGC
rnacentral:rRNA from 1 species